CUCUCCGGUCUCCCGGCUCUUGGCCGCGGCUGUGGCCCCGAGUGCGCCCGCUGGCGCGCACACAGGCUGUUAUUUCUGAGCAACCGCGGAGGGUGCCCGAGGAUCGGGGCGGCGCUGAGACAACGUCAAGGCAUUGAUUCCAUGCCAGUGAGGGACACGGAAUAUGUCUGUUCCGUGCCUGUGAGGGACAAAGAAGAUGUUUCUUCUGAAUACAAUUGACUCAGUUACCUGAGUUGUGUCUGAAAUGGAAAGCUAAAGUGGCGUGAGUGACGCAAAAUCAUAGUCAAAACAUCUUCACACUAUGUCUCCUUUCCUAUUCUGGGGAUAAUUGAAAUCUUCUUGGACUAGGAAUCAUUAAAAAAGCAAAAACUGGAUUUUCCUUGGGCACUGCCGUGGACUGACACGAUCCUAGGCAAGUCAUUUAUUUCAUCUCUUUAAGUAUUUUUUUUAUUAUUUCAGA